rnacentral:rRNA from 1 species
CGGAACACGUGGGGAGGGUGCGCGGUAGUACGGAGGGUGCGGUGGUUAAUCGGAAUGACUGGGCGUAAGGGGGUGGCAGGCGGUUUGUGAAGCGAGAUGUGAAAGCCCUGGGCUCAACCUAGGAAUAGCAUUUGGAACUGGCGAACUAGAGUCUUGUAGAGGGGGGUAGAAUUCCAGGUGUAGCGGUGAAAUGCGUAGAGAUCUGGAGGAAUACCGGUGGCGAAGGCGGCCCCCUGGACAAAGACUGACGCUCAUGCACGAAAGCGUGGGGAGCAAACAGGAUUAGAUACCCCUGUAGUC